AGAGUUUGAUCCUGGCUCAGGAUGAACGCUAGCUACAGGCUUAACACAUGCAAGUCGAGGGGCAGCGGGAAGGAAGCUUGCUUUCUUCGCCGGCGACCGGCGCACGGGUGAGUAACGCGUAUCGAACCUGCCUCAUACUCGGGGAUAACCUUGCGAAAGUAAGACUAAUACCCGAUGUUUUCAUCUCCUCGCAUGAAGAGUUGAACAAAGUUUUUCGGUAUGAGAUGGCGAUGCGUCCCAUUAGCUUGUUGGCGGGGUAACGGCCCACCAAGGCAUCGAUGGGUAGGGGUUCUGAGAGGAAGGUCCCCCACAUUGGAACUGAGACACGGUCCAAACUCCUACGGGAGGCAGCAGUGAGGAAUAUUGGUCAAUGGACGGAAGUCUGAACCAGCCAAGUAGCGUGCAGGAUGACGGCCCUCUGGGUUGUAAACUGCUUUUAGUUGGGAAUAAAGUGCGGUACGUGUACCGUUUUGUAUGUACCAUCAGAAAAAGGACCGGCUAAUUCCGUGCCAGCAGCCGCGGUAAUACGGAAGGUCCAGGCGUUAUCCGGAUUUAUUGGGUUUAAAGGGAGCGCAGGCGGACUCUUAAGUCAGUUGUGAAAUACGGCGGCUCAACCGUCGGACUGCAGUUGAUACUGGGAGUCUUGAGUACACGCAGAGAUACUGGAAUUCAUGGUGUAGCGGUGAAAUGCUCAGAUAUCAUGAGGAACUCCGAUCGCGAAGGCAGGUAUCUGGAGUGUAACUGACGCUGAGGCUCGAAAGUGCGGGUAUCAAACAGGAUUAGAUACCCUGGUAGUCCGCACAGUAAACGAUGAAUACUCGCGGUUGGCGAUAUACAGUCAGCCGCCAAGCGAAAGCGUUAAGUAUUCCACCUGGGGAGUACGCCGGCAACGGUGAAACUCAAAGGAAUUGACGGGGGCCCG
rnacentral:rRNA from 1 species